UACGUAGGGUGCAAGCGUUGUCCGGAAUUAUUGGGCGUAAAGAGUUCGUAGGCGGCUUGUCGCGUCGGAUGUGAAAGCCCGGGGCUUAACUCCGGGUCUGCAUUCGAUACGGGCAGGCUAGAGUUCGGUAGGGGAGAUCGGAAUUCCUGGUGUAGCGGUGAAAUGCGCAGAUAUCAGGAGGAACACCGGUGGCGAAGGCGGAUCUCUGGGCCGAUACUGACGCUGAGGAGCGAAAGCGUGGGGAGCGAACAGG
rnacentral:rRNA from 1 species